GUUUGAUCCUGGCUCAGGAUGAACGCUGGCGGCGUGCCUAACACAUGCAAGUCGAACGCUCGCAAGAGAGUGGCGCACGGGUGAGGAACACGUAGUUUAUUUGCCCCUUGGUCUGGAAUAACCUGUCGAAAGACGUGCUAAUACUGGAUACGCUUCCCCGAACUAGAAUAAGGGAAGGAAAGGCUUGCCGCCAAGGGAAAAGACUGCGGCCCAUCAGGUAGUUGGUGAGGUAAAGGCUCACCAAGCCAAAGACGGGUAACAGGUCUGAGAGGAUGACCUGUCACACUGGGACUGAGACACGGCCCAGACUCCUACGGGAGGCAGCAGUGAGGAAUAUUGGUCAAUGGGGGCAACCCUGAACCAGCGACGCCGCGUGGGUGAAGAAGGUCUUCGGAUUGUAAAACCCUUUCUCAGGUGACGAGAGAGGACGGUAGCCUGAGAAUAAGCCUCGGCUAACUACGUGCCAGCAGCCGCGGUAAAACGUAGGAGGCAAGCGUUAUCCGGAGUUACUGGGCGUAAAGCGUCUGUAGGUGGUGAGACACGUCUGGCGUGAAAUCUCCUUGCUCAACGGGGAGGGUGCGUUGGAUACGGUCUGACUAGAGUGCAUCAGAGGUAGAUGGAAUUCCGGGUGUAGUGGUGAAAUGCGUAGAGACUCGGAGGAACACCAGAGGCGAAAGCGGUCUACUGGGAUGCAACUGACACUGAGAGACGACGGCGUGGGGAGCCAACGGGAUUAGAGACCCCGGUAGUCCACGCAGUAAACGAUGUGCGCUAAAUGUGUGGGUUGGGAAACCAACCUGUGUGUUGAAGCAAACGCGAUAAGCGCACCGCCUGAGAAGUACGGUCGCAAGACUAAAACUCAAAGGAAUUGACGGGGGCCCGCACAAGCAGCGGAGCGUGUGGUUUAAUUCGAUCUACACGAAGAACCUUACCCGGGGUUAGAAGUGACGGUGGUAGAAGCCUGAAAGGGUAACGACCGAAAGGAGCCGUUAAAGGUGCUGCAUGGUUGUCGUCAGCUCGUGCCGUGAGGUGUUCGGUUAAGUCCGCAAACGAGCGCAACCCUUAGCGUAUGUUACAAGUGUCAUACGCGACUGCCUGCGGGAAGUAGGAGGAAGGUGAGGAUGACGUCAAAUCAGCAUGGCCUAUAUGUCCGGGGCUACACACACGCUACAAUGGGCGGUACAACGAGAGGCGAAACCGCGAGGUGGAGCAAAUCAGAAAAGCCGUUCAAAGUUCGGAUUGUAGGCUGCAACUCGCCUACAUGAAGCUGGAGUUGCUAGUAACCGCGCGUCAGCGAUAGUGCGGUGAAUACGUUCCCGGGCCUUGUACACACCGCCCGUCACGUCAUGGGAGCUGGUCACGCCUGAAAUGGGAAAGCGAACCGAAAGGGAGCAACCUCUGAAGGCAGGGCUGGUGACUGGGACGAAGUCGUAACAAGGUA
rnacentral:rRNA from 1 species